rnacentral:rRNA from 1 species
UUACGGGAGGCAGCAGUCGGGAAUUUUGGGCAAUGGGCGAAAGCCUGACCCAGCAACGCCGCGUGAAGGAUGAAGUAUUUCGGUAUGUAAACUUCGAAAGAAUGGGAAGAACUCAAUGACGGUACCAUUUAUAAGCUCCGGCUAACUACGUGCCAGCAGCCGCGGUAAUACGUAGGGAGCAAGCGUUGUUCGGAUUUACUGGGCGUAAAGGGCGCGUAGGCGGCAAAUUAAGUCAGCUGUGAAAUCUCCGAGCUUAACUCGGAACUGUCAGCUGAUACUGAUCUGCUAGAGUGCGGAAGGGGCAAUCGGAAUUCUUGGUGUAGCGGUGAAAUGCGUAGAUAUCAAGAGGAACACCUGAGGUGAAGACGGGUUGCUGGGCCGACACUGACGCUGAGUGCGCGAAAGCCAGGGGAGCAAACGGGAUUAGAUACCCCGGU